rnacentral:rRNA from 1 species
AUGGUUCUUAUGGGCGGUUUAAGAAAAUACAUUCCAAUCACAAGAACUACUUUUUUAUGGGGUACACUUUCUCUUUGUGGUAUUCCACCUCUUGCUUGCUUCUGGUCCAAAGAUGAAAUCCUUAGUAAUAGUUGGUUGUAUUCGCCCUUUUUUGGAAUAAUAGCCUCCUUUACUGCAGGAUUAACUGCCUUUUAUAUGUUUCAGAUAUAUUUACUUACAUUUGAUGGGUAUUUGCGUGUUCAUUUUCAAAAUUACAGUAGCACUAAAGAGAGUUCCUUGUAUUCAAUAUCCUUAUGGGGAAAAAGGAUACCCAAAGGAGUGAAUAGGGAUUUCGUUUUAUCAACAACGAAGAGUGGAGUUUCUUUUUUUACACAAAAUAUACCAAAAAUUCAAGGUAAUACAAGAAAUAGGAUAGGAUCCUUUACUAUGUCUUUUGGGGCUAAAAACACUUUUGCCUAUCCGCAUGAAACGGGAAAUACUAUGUUAUUUCCUCUUCUUAUAUUACUACUUUUCACUUUGUUCAUUGGAUUCAUAGGAAUCUCUUUUGAUAAUGGAGGAAUUGGUAAUGGAAUAGCAAAGUUAACCAUAUUAUCAAAGUGGUUAACUCCCUCAAUAAACUUUACCCAGGAAAGUUCUAAUUCUUUUGUAAAUUCAUAUGAAUUUAUUACUAAUGCAAUUUCUUCUGUAAGUCUAGCUAUCUUUGGUUUAUUCAUAGCAUAUAUCUUCUAA